CAACCCAAAUUUUCUAGUCAAAAUUCAAAUGUCGACUAGUCAAAGUCAAAGUCAAUUAAGGACUAAAAUGAAAUUAAAUAUUUUAUUGGGGUUUAUUUUAUAAUUAGUCAUAUGUGAGGGUUAAAUUGGCUACAAUUUAAAGUUGAGAAUUUACUUAUAUAUAUUUGGAAGUUUAGAACUUAAAAGCUAUAUUCUAUUAAAGAAUAGGGACCUUCCUUAGCAAUUUUGAACAAAUGGCAUUUAUAUUCAAACUUUGACCAUACUUUUCCACAAAAAUCACACACUAACACACACUAAAGUGUGUUGAACGGGAGGAAACGCAGAGAAGAGAAGAAAGGGAAGAAAAGAAAAAGAAAGGAAGAAAAAGAAAAAAAAAAUCUUGUGCCAACUACUUCAAUCUUGUUUAUUUAAUUCUUCAAGAGGAGGCUGUUGACUGAGCGGUGGUGGAGAUUAUUUUGAUAGUUUUGCAGACAUUGCUACCACCAAUUGUAGGUUCUUUUGUUUGAAAUUGUGUAAUCAUCAAGUAAAAUAUUUACAUCAUGUUGGAGGAAAAUUAUUUUGGUAUUUAUAUACACCAAUGAUCAUGAUGUAAUAUGGUAAUCUAAACUGCUUCCUAUUAUCCUUUUGAGAGGCAGUUUUGAUGUAUAUGUUAUGGAUGUUUUUGGUUAAACGAGCAAAUGAUAGUAUUAUGUUGGUGUUUUAUUUUAA